UUUUUGCUCUGCUCUGUACCACAGCUCACCUGGGGAAACCACAUGACCCGAUCGGCAGGCUUCUUCACUCAGGUCAUCGUUCCCUGAGCACCUGUGCCAUCAAAGCCCCAGAGGUCAGCAGAAGAUGAGACCCGAGAGCCACCUGACAGUCCUUGAACGGAGCUGGGAAGCCUGAAGCCUUUCGGGAUGGCCGCAGACCACGAACCUGAAGAGAUGGCUCAGCAGGGAGAGGCUCCUGUGCCUGACGACUCGAGUUUCAUUGCUGAAUCCCAUGGGAUAGUGGGAGAAAACUGAUUUCCUGGGGCUGAAGAGAUGGCCUGGUGGUUAAGAGCACACAUCACUCUUGCAGGGAGAGACAUCAUCACUGUCCUUGUGUCAUGGCUGAAGAAACUGAGACACACAGAAGCUCGGGAACAUCCUCAGG